CAUGCAAGUCGAACGAUGACUAUCUAGCUUGCUAGAUAUGAUUAGUGGCGAACGGGUGAGUAAUGCUUAGGAAUCUGCCUAGUAGUGGGGGAUAACUAUCCGAAAGGAUAGCUAAUACCGCAUACGACCUACGGGUGAAAGGGGGCUUUUAGCUCUCGCUAUUAGAUGAGCCUAAGUCGGAUUAGCUAGUUGGUGGGGUAAAGGCCUACCAAGGCGACGAUCUGUAGCUGGUCUGAGAGGAUGAUCAGCCACACUGGGACUGAGACACGGCCCAGACUCCUACGGGAGGCAGCAGUGGGGAAUAUUGGACAAUGGGCGAAAGCCUGAUCCAGCCAUGCCGCGUGUGUGAAGAAGGCCUUUUGGUUGUAAAGCACUUUAAGUAGGGAGGAAAAGCUUGUGGUUAAUACCCACAAGCCCUGACGUUACCUACAGAAUAAGCACCGGCUAA
rnacentral:rRNA from 1 species